GUCCAAGACUUUUAUUCCAGUAGCUUUGUCUACAAAAAUUGCUUUUAAUCACAGUGGCUUUAUCCUUUAAGCAGAAGGCUGUGGGAUGGCUUCUUGAAGCUCAGGAGCCUGAUUUUGCCUCUGCAUUAUUCCAGUUAUUGCUAAGCAGAUACAGUGGCAAUAGGCUGUAUUUUUGUUGGAACACUAUUAUAAUUUGCUUCAUGAUGGAGGAAGGAGCAGGUGUUGCUUUGUGCCAUGGGUAGGAAUGUCAAAAUGCUGCAAUUUCCCUUUCAACAUCUUUCCAAAGUUCUGCUUGAAGAGAAAGCAGUCAGAUGCCCCUUAUAAUUCACACUUUCUAUAUAAAGUGUGUCUAAUAGACCUUAUUUGAUCCCAGUUUAGAAUUAUUGCCAUUCUGACGGCUGGAAUGGGUCUCAGUAAAGAUUUUGUAGUAGAUGCACACUCAUGCACAUGCACAAAGCACAAGGGAGGGUGAGGAGAACAGUGUCAUACAAACCCAUUAUUCAUUAUAGAAUUUUUCAUUAUUAGGAUAAUACUAACAAGAUUAUCUAUCUGUUCUGUUCAUUCUUAGUCCCUAAGAGUCCUUGUCCAUUUGAACACGUGACAUAACCUUCCACAGGGAUUUUGCUGGCCAUCUGCCUGCGCUCGGAGAGGAGCUUUACCAUAGCCUGAAUUGCUUGUGAUUUGUACAAGUGUUCUCUGAAAACCUUCGUGUUGUUACACCACUGCUAAGACAGAACAACACAGAAAGACUACAGCAAGGCUUGGUAGGAAUAAGGCCCAGCUCAGCCAAGGUUGAAGCCACCACUUCGACCAAUGAUGGUAACUUCAAACGUGGCUAUUUUGAAUUUUCAUGCUCUGAAGUACCUGUUGCUACUACUUGUAAGCAGGUUUUGUUCUCAAAGCAGGAGCCUUAAAAAUGUUUACUCCUGGAUACUAUUGUGCAAGGAAGGGUAGUAUCUAAAAUGUUUAUGCAGGGGAAAAAUCAUAUCUUGCACAGCCAAAUGUCCUAUGCUUAUAAUUGCAAAUCCAAACUUGGGAGGAAACAAGGUUAUUAUUUUCCCUAUGACCCAAUUUAAAAAUACAAGCAGGUUUUUUUUAUAAGUUUUUAACUUAGUUAAAACCUUUUACUUACAUUUUAAGCAUGGAAUGUUGAAAUGGUAAAACUAUGCACCACGGUUUGGACCAAAAGUAAGACAUCAAUGUACGUAACAAGACAACACAGACCUAGAACGAGUUCACCUGACGUGGUUUCAGUUAAGUCUACUGCUUCUCUUAGCACGUGUGUUUGUUACAUGCUGGGUGGUGCUUUGGAAGUUAUUACUGGAUGCUACUUUCUAAAGCAGAGAUGUUAAUCACAGAAGCAUCUCUCUAGCCAACUGAAAUCGUAUUGGGUUGUCUGUUGCAGCACUGAAUACUGGUCCUAAUGAGCAGAGCGUAGUAUGAGAAACUGCACAAAUUCUUUUGUCUCCAAGGAAGAGUAUGAGAUUUCACACAGGAAUCAGCUGGUUGAUUGCACAAAUAUUUCC
rnacentral:lncRNA from 1 species